rnacentral:rRNA from 1 species
UUGAUCCUGGCUCAGAAUCAACGCUGGCGGCGUGCCUAACACAUGCAAGUCGAACGCGAAAGUGGAGCAAUCCAUGAGUAGAGUGGCAAACGGGUGAGUAACACGUGGGUGACCUGCCUUCGAGUGGGGGAUAACGUCCCGAAAGGGACGCUAAUACCGCAUAAUAUGCUGUCUUUUAAGAGAGAGACAUCAAAGCCGGGGACCGCAAGGCCUGGCGCUUGAAGAGGGGCCCGCGCCUGAUUAGCUAGUUGGUGGGGUAAUGGCUCACCAAGGCAACGAUCAGUAUCCGGCCUGAGAGGGCGGACGGACACACUGGGACUGAGACACGGCCCAGACUCCUACGGGAGGCAGCAGUGGGGAAUUGUUCGCAAUGGGCGCAAGCCUGACGACGCAACGCCGCGUGGAGGAUGAAGAUCUUCGGGUCGUAAACUCCUUUCGAUCGAGACGAAUGGCCCUUGGGAUAAUACCCUGAGGGAGUGACGGUACCGAGAGAAGAAGCCCCGGCUAACUCCGUGCCAG